CCUUUUGCAAACAUUAGGGCUCCAAUACCUGAGUUGAGCCUUUGAGACAUAGGGCCUCCAUUCCCUAGUCGCCUUUUGCCAGCAUUAGGGAUCAAAUCUCUGAGUUAAGCCUUUUUAGACAUAGGGCCUCCAUUCCCUAGUCGCUUUUUCUGCCAACAUUAGGGCUCUAAUCCCUAAGUUGAGCCUUUUAGACAUAGGGCCUCCAUUCCCUAGGCGCCUUAUUUUACCAACAUUAGGGGUCCAAUCCCUGAGUUGAGCUUUUUAGACAUAGGGCCUCCAUUCCCUAGUCGUCUUUUGCCAACAUUAGGGAUCCAAUCCCUAAGUUGAACUUUUUAGACAUAGGGCCUUCAUUCCCUAGUCGCUUUUUGCCAAUAUUAGGGCUCCAAUCCCUGAGUUGAGCCUUUUUAGAUAUAGGGCCUCCAUUCCCUAGUCACCUUUUGCCAACAUUAGGGCUCCAAUCGCUCAGUUGAGUUUUUUUGACAUAGAGCCUCCAUUCCCUAGUCACCUUUUGCCAACAUUAGGGCUUCAAUCCCUGAGUUGAGCCUUUUUAGACAUAGGGUCUCCAUUCCCUAGUCGCCUUUUGCCAAUAUUAGGGAUCCAAUCCCUGAGUUGAGAUUUUUAGACAUAAGGCCUCCAUUCCCUAGUCUCCAUUUGCCAACAUUAGGGCUCCAAUCCCUGAGUUGA
rnacentral:lncRNA from 1 species